GUAAGAGAGAACAAGAUCUCUUUCUGCCUUCACUGUCCUAGGCUCCAGUAGUGCAGUGGGAGGAAUGGUCUUUGGAAAAUAAUGUUCCUUUUUCUUGCUUUUUUUUAAUUUCUGAGAUAAGAUCUUCCUAUGUUGUUCAGGCUGGUCUCAAACUCUUAAGCUCAAGUGAUCCUCCUGCCUCAGCCUCCUGAGUAGCUGGGAUUAUAGGCACAUACCACCAAACCCUAUUUGGAAAACUUUUUUUUUUUUUUUCCUGACAGAAAACCUUUUCUAAGACAAUCUUAAAACGAGAAUACAAACAAUAGUUUUUUGUUUGUUUUGUUUUUUUUUGAUAUGGAGUCUCGCUCUUGCUGUCUAGGCUGGAGUGCAAUGGUGCACAAUUUUGGCUCACUGCAACCUCCCCCUCCCAGGUUCAAGCAAUUCUCCUUCCUCAGCCUCCCGAGUAGCUGGGAUUACAGGUGUGCACCACCACGCCCGACUAAUUUUUGUAUUUUUAGUAGAGACGGGGUUUCACCAUGUUGGCCAGCCUGGUUUUGAACUCCUGACCUCAAGUGAUCCGCCUGCCUCGGCCUCCCAAAGUGCUGGGAUUACAGGUGUGAGCCACCACGCCCGGCCUACAAACAAUAGGUUUUAAUGUGCAACUAUAUCUGCAUUAACAAUAGGACAGAGAAACUAAAUGCAGCAAGAUGGGUGCAGUGGAGCAGCUUCUUUGCAAAUCUGGUGUCAGGUAUGGUGCUUAUCACAUCUUGUGGGCACACAGGAGGCAGCUUCAGUUUUGAGUUGUUGGAUGUUCCAGAUUAUAGAGUUUAACGCUGUGUCAUUAUGAGUCUUGAAAUAACUGGGCCCAAAUGUACUUUACUCACUAAAAUAUAAGUAAUGGCCACAAGUAUUUUUUUCCUCUUUCAAAAUCUGUCUGAUUUCAUAGGAAGAGGACAAGUUAUAUAAAUAAAGCAAUUAGUCUAAUAAGAUUUUCUUCCAGGAGCCAGAGAACACUGUAUUUUCUGCCUAAUGGUUGGAUGUGGCUGUUGGGCAAACAAAAUGACCUUCUCCAUUCAUUCAAUUUCAGACCUUAAACAAAGGGCAGAGAGAGAGUUAGCAGCUAAUGCUGGCAAGUUAGAAGGCAAGGAAACUAUGCCACAGAACCUUCCUGCCAAUAUUCCAGAGCGAUGAUCCUAAAUGGGGAAAAGGCAUUUAAUGGCUCUAGAGAGGGUCCUGGGGAGAAAGGGCAGAGAAAGAGCACAGGACACAGAAUAGAGUGCGGUUCACAGCCAUGACGCCCAACCUCGCCAUGACCAUAGACCCUAAUGGCCACCUGGGGCUGACGAGAAGCACACCACGCAUGCGUGUUGCAGGCGCGUGUCUGUCUGAAGGAUGCUGCUGGCACACGCAGAUUCUGACCCAGUUAUGAAGACCAACCUUCUCCUUUUAUACCCCUCCUGCCAGCUGUUGGGGAGAUCUGGAGACACCCCGUGCUAGCAGCACCCUCCAGCUCAGGGCAGUGGUCAUGCAGGGAUGUGGCUGCACAGUAUGGGAGAGACACCAGGCUUGGACCUGGCAUUGAUAAGUCACUUUUCCAUAGGAGAAGGCAGUGACAGACAUUUAAAUGCAAGAUGGGGCUGAUGACAGUCCACUGGGGGUGGGAUGGGGCUUGGUAGGGUGGAAAGGACAGACAACAGACUUCCUGAAUCUCUCUGGGGAAACAAACUGUAAUCUUCCCAAGUCUAGGUUCUUAUACCGAAUGGUGCUGCUAUGGAAUACUGGACGAGCCAAGAGAAGGAGAGGUGCUCUAUCCUGCUAAGAUUGGAUCUGGAUGGAAUUUGCUGGGGAGGGCUGGAACUAGUUACCUGCACACUCAUGGCAAUGGACCACCCUGCCAGGUAAAGGUUAGAGGCAAGUCUCGGAGAUGGAAACCCAAGGUCAUGCAGUUGUGCCAAUGCCCGUUGUUAGACAACAUGCUUCUAUUCCUGACAAACCAGUCUCAAGCAGCUCUGACUGAUGGGGCGGAUUUCAAUGCUCUCCAAUGACUUCCAAGUGUUAAGAAAAAGCUGCUGCUACCCUACAUGCCCAAGCUAUACGAACUACUUUUUUCCAGGCAAACAGGAUUCCUGCAGACAAUGCUCGGAUGAUGAAAUCUGAGAGGCUGGAUGACAGAGAAACCCACAUGCAUACACACACACUUUAUAAAGCUUAGGAACAAAAGCACUUUAUAAUCUCCUUCUGAUGCCAAGUUUACAGUGCUUCCAGAGUCAACAAAGGUGACUCAGGAGAGUGCACCCAGCUCCUUUCAGCACUUAUUUAGCUCAGCCACCUGUGUGAGCUCAAAGACAAGGGUGCCGACUUCACCUGAGUAGACCCUGAGUCACGUGAUUUCUUGCUGGAGAUGAUUCAGCAAAGGAGCACUAACCUCUGAGACAAGGCUUCAGCUUCCUGAGCUCUGCUGACUCGCCUGGGACUUCCCUAAGCCCUUCUGGACCUAGAUGAGGGCAAAACUCAGUGGAACCUCAGAAGCCCUAAAAAAAUGAUAGACUUUCUUUUGUCUCAUCAUUAUCAGCAUUUUGGGAUGAUUUAGUCAGCCUAAGAAACCUGAUGGCAUGUUGACACCAGAAAACAGGUAGUAUAUAUUCCCAAACCAAGUUAAAAAAAAUUAAGAAAUAACAGCUGGAAUGCCUUUUAUUUUUUCUUUACACAAAUGUGUGUGUCAUCGUCAUAUGCCUUUUUUGUGUUAAUUUCUGAGGAUCCUGCCAGUGUGAAUACUCCAUUCUCUGCGAGUCGCAGGUCAGGCUGCUUUUGAGGCAAGCACACGUUAAGUAUUGAGCAGAAACAUUUGAAGCAAAGAUGAGAAAGACAGAAGGGGAAGCAAGAAAAAUAGUCUUCCCAGUGUGCCUAUUUGGGUGCAUAUAAAGUUACUUUUAGAUGUGCGAUUACUGGUUAAUGAUUUGGGGAAUUCUUUUCAAGUAGAAAUCCUGGGCUAAAAACUAAGUGUGCUCAAGCUACCCCCGCACCCACUGAUUCUGCACUCCAUGGGAAAAGUUCUCACAAGCAAGUCCUUUGUCCACUACCCACGUCUAUAGGAAAUGUUUGAACAGCUAUACACAAAGAACUCACAAGUCCACAACCUCGGGGGUGUUGCGGGUGGAGAGGGCAGUGGUAAAGGUGAUGACAGGGAGGGCCUGUGGGGACAGUAAUAUUAGAUUAGUGGUCAGAAGAUGCUGGAGCCUGCCUUGCCAGUCACACACUUUUAGAGGAAUGCUGGACAGUACACACCCUCCCCAACCCUGAAUGUAGGCCCUCGCUGACAUCACGCCAGAUGAAGCCCUGAGGUCUUUAACAUCUGUAACUCUAUGGCAUGUAACAUAAACAGGUGUCUGACCAGUUUCCCCAGAUAUAGAAUAAUAAUAAUACCUUUCAUUUAAAAAGGUAAGAGGGAAUUCAACAAGCUUUCCUUCUUAAAUAAAUCUCCAUCUCAGGAAGCCAUGGAAAGAUGCCCCUCCCACACUAAGACUGUAGAGAGAGGCACUGUGAAGGUCUGGCUUGGAGAUCUCAGCUCUUCCUGCCUCUCAGGGGGAAAGGGCAGAUCCAGCAGGCCGGGAAAGGAUCUCCCAGGGUCCCAAGGAGGCAGCAUGGGGCAAAGUCCAACAGUGAGGAUUCUCUCCUUCUCUGGUCUCUUUUCUGUUAAAAAUGCUUCUUUGGGGUACCCUUCAUUACUACCCUGGAGGUUGAAGGACACUUCUUGAGAAGGCAUAGAUACUCUUCAGGUAUGCUGAAGAAAUGAGUUGUGCUAAAACCACUGGUUAAUUUUGUCUGUGGCAAAAAAUCAUGAGGGUGACAUAGACUCCCAGGCCAGGAACCCGAGACUGGAUUUAAGAGAUGUGGCCAGGAUCCACAGGGGAGCUUGUAUGUGGCUCACAUCAUUAGCUCUUUCUGUAUAUUUGUAUUGUAAACCAUUUCCCUUCAUUUGUGAAGAUGGAGAUCACUUUUUCUAUACAGGCUAGAAAUGUUUCUUCAUACACACACGCUGAGCUUGUUUAUAAAAGAUAUUCAUUUAUAUGGUGGUUUUAACAACUUUUCCAUGUGGAAAUUUUAGACGACAGUAACACAGACCCUCAUGUACUCAUCACUCAGCCUUGAUGGUUACUGACACAUGCCCAAUAUUGUUUCAUCUGUUUCUCCCCACAACUCCUGGAUUAAUUUGAAAGAAAUCCUAGAAGUCACUUAAUCAGCAAAUACUCCAGUCUGUUGGUCCACUCCUUAUACAAUAGCCAGGGUGAUCUUUUACACAUGAAGUAGUGAUUGCAUCACUCAUGCUUGCUUGGAAUUCUUCAAAGACUUACGUUGGCACUUCAGAUAAAGUGUAGACUCCUUCGCGUGACCUAGGAUGUCCUUUGGGCUCUCACUGUUCCCUCAGCCUCCUCACCUGAAGCUCUCACUGCCCCACCCCUUUGCUCAUCACACUCCAACCCGCCUGCCAUUGAGCUACUCAAAUGGACUGCUCCUUUCUCAAGACCUCUGCACACUUUCAAGCCUCAUUUCUCUUCAGCCUUUAUUAAAUGUCAUCUCCUCCAGAUGGCCUCCUUUGGUGGCCCAGGUCAUGUUAGAUCUGCCUGUUAAAUAAAUGCUUUCAAAGAACCUUGGAUUUUAUUUUUUUCUCAUUAAAUUGUAAGUAUAUAGUUAAUGUUUAAUUUCUCUUUAAAAUUUCUUUCUCCCUCCCCACCCCAACUGGACUGUAAAUUCCACAAGAGCAGGAUCAUGUUUGCCUCACUCAUCACUGAAUUCCUGGCACCUCGCACAGAACCUGAGUAUUGCAGAACCCAUGCCUGCUAUGCACAUAUGCAUUGAUAUAAGCCUAUUAUAUAAAUAAACAGAUCAAUAUCUAUUUGGCUAUUUACACCCCACCUAUAUGUCUUUGGUCAAGAUUUAAAAGCUCCUGGAAAAACAAAAAUACAAUUUCCUUAGGAAUAAAAGCCUACCACAGCCUUGUGUAAAAUUAAGCACUUAAUAACCUUGAUGAUG
rnacentral:lncRNA from 10 species